GAUGAACGCUGACAGAAUGCUUAACACAUGCAAGUCCACUUGAACUUCGGUUUGGGUGGCGGACGGGUGAGUAACGCGUAAAGAACUUGCCUCACAGCUAGGGACAACAUUUGGAAACGAAUGCUGAUACCUGAUAUUAUGAUUUUAGGGCAUCCUAGAAUUAUGAAAGCUAUAUGCGCUGUGAGAGAGCUUUGCGUCCCAUUAGCUAGUUGGAGAGGUAACGGCUCACCAAGGCGAUGAUGGGUAGCCGGCCUGAGAGGGUGAACGGCCACAAGGGGACUGAGACACGGCCCUUACUCCUACGGGAGGCAGCAGUGGGGAAUAUUGGACAAUGGACCAAGAGUCUGAUCCAGCAAUUCUGUGUGCACGAUGAAGUUUUUCGGAAUGUAAAGUGCUUUCAGUUGGGAAGAAAAAAAUGACGGUACCAACAGAAGAAGUGACGGCUAAAUACGUG
rnacentral:rRNA from 1 species